AUACCUAAUCGUCUCUGCCAGUCCAUUCAAACUCAUGGAUUUGCAAAAUUAUGUUAAAGUCUUUUAAAAAUACAUUUGAGUAGGCUUUUGUAGUCAUUUGGAUUUUGAAUAUUAAUUUUCUCUUGCUAUGCUGCUUAGCCAUAAAAAUGAAAAAGAAGAUAGAUGUGGGUUUCUUUUAGUGGUGUUAAUUUAAAGUACUUGAUUUAUUUAUUAUAAUAUUCAACAAUGGCAAUUCCUAUUUUCUCUGUUCACAUCAGAUCCAACAGAAAAUAAUGAGAAGCCCCCACCCACCAGCACAGUAAGAAAAAGUUUGAUGCAUUUUGUAAUAAUUGAUUAAAAGUAUAAUUUCCCCCUAGAUCAAACAAAUAAUAGAAGUCUGUUGAAGCUUUGUCCUGACCUAUUCUGGAAGUAGAAGAAUACCCUGGAGAAAGGAGCAUUGUAAGCACAAAGAAUAAGACUCCUCAAUCCUGGGAGAGCGAAAUAAAGUCUAACCCUCCAAAUGGCUAUUCUAAUGUGAUGCUGGGAUUGAGUUUACCUAGGACUCCGUAUCAAGGUUGACUCGAAAGUCUUGUGGAAGAUCUGGGAGAAAUACGCUCUUAGAAGAAACUACUGUAUACAACGAUGAUUUCUUCAGAUCCCACAAGGCCAUUUUAUAUAAUUGCUUGGUUUUACUUGAAUAUGUGAAGAUGGUUAUUCAGUAAGUUGGGAGACUGAGUAUUAUGAUGAUAUCUGUGUUUUGCUAUAUUAUCUGGAAAAAGUGUGACUCAUAAUUAAUUGCAUGUACAGAUGCAAUAAGAAACAGAGAAACUAAUAACGUUUGUAUUAUGGUGACAAAAAAAAUGUGCCAAAAUAUAUGAUACAUAUAUUUUCUUAA
rnacentral:lncRNA from 1 species